GUCUGGAUAGCUCAGUGGUCUAGAGCAGUUGCCCGGAAAGCGAAAGACUCGGGUUCGAUUCCCGAUCCAGCCA
rnacentral:tRNA from 1 species